UACGAGUGCCCCAAGCGUUAUCCGGAAUCACUGGGCGUAAAGGGUGUGUAGGUGGUUGUGUUAGUCUUUUGUUAAAUUCUUCGGCUUAACCGGGGACCUGCGAAAGAAACGGCACGACUAGAGGAUGUGAGGGGUGAACGGAACUCAUGGAGUAGGGGUGAAAUCCGUUGAUAUCAUGGGGAACACCAAAAGCGAAGGCAGUUCACUGGCACAUUCCUGACACUGAAACACGAAAGCGUAGGUAGCGAAUGGG
rnacentral:rRNA from 1 species